ensembl:miRNA
GUGGCAGCACAGGGGGCUGUCCUCCCUCCCCUCAGUCAUUGGACUAAUGAGCCCAGCAGGGUCCUGGGGUCCACCUGAUGUCUGAGUGCUUUGUGGGCUUGGUCCCAGCAGGAGGAGGGGGUCUCCCCAGCUGUCCCCUGGCCAG